rnacentral:rRNA from 1 species
CACGUAGGGUGCGAGCGUUUGUCCGGAAUUAUUGGGCGUAAAGAGCUCGUAGGCGGUGUGUCGCGUCGGCCGUGAAAACCUGCAGCUUAACUGUGGGCUUGCGGUCGAUACGGGCAUCACUGGAGUUCGGCAGGGGAGACUGGAAUUCCUGGUGUAGCGGUGAAAAUGCGCAGAUAUCAGGGAGGGAACACCGGUGGGCGAAAGGCGGGGUCUCUGGGGCCCGAUACU